AAGAAUUUAAGUUAUCCAGUAAACUUUUGGCCUUCAAAGCCAAAAAAAGAAAAUCUUUCUAAUUCUUA
rnacentral:tRNA from 1 species